UUGAAGAGUUUGAUCAUGGCUCAGAUUGAACGCUGGCGGCAGGCCUAACACAUGCAAGUCGAGCGGAAACGAGUUAUCUGAACCUUCGGGGAACGAUAACGGCGUCGAGCGGCGGACGGGUGAGUAAUGCCUAGGAAAUUGCCCUGAUGUGGGGGAUAACCAUUGGAAACGAUGGCUAAUACCGCAUAAUGCCUACGGGCCAAAGAGGGGGACCUUCGGGCCUCUCGCGUCAGGAUAUGCCUAGGUGGGAUUAGCUAGUUGGUGAGGUAAUGGCUCACCAAGGCGACGAUCCCUAGCUGGUCUGAGAGGAUGAUCAGCCACACUGGAACUGAGACACGGUCCAGACUCCUACGGGAGGCAGCAGUGGGGAAUAUUGCACAAUGGGCGCAAGCCUGAUGCAGCCAUGCCGCGUGUGUGAAGAAGGCCUUCGGGUUGUAAAGCACUUUCAGUCGUGAGGAAGGUAGUGUAGUUAAUAGCUGCAUUAUUUGACGUUAGCGACAGAAGAAGCACCGGCUAACUCCGUGCCAGCAGCCGCGGUAAUACGGAGGGUGCGAGCGUUAAUCGGAAUUACUGGGCGUAAAGCGCAUGCAGGUGGUUUGUUAAGUCAGAUGUGAAAGCCCGGGGCUCAACCUCGGAAUAGCAUUUGAAACUGGCAGACUAGAGUACUGUAGAGGGGGGUAGAAUUUCAGGUGUAGCGGUGAAAUGCGUAGAGAUCUGAAGGAAUACCGGUGGCGAAGGCGGCCCCCUGGACAGAUACUGACACUCAGAUGCGAAAGCGUGGGGAGCAAACAGGAUUAGAUACCCUGGUAGUCCACGCCGUAAACGAUGUCUACUUGGAGGUUGUGGCCUUGAGCCGUGGCUUUCGGAGCUAACGCGUUAAGUAGACCGCCUGGGGAGUACGGUCGCAAGAUUAAAACUCAAAUGAAUUGACGGGGGCCCGCACAAGCGGUGGAGCAUGUGGUUUAAUUCGAUGCAACGCGAAGAACCUUACCUACUCUUGACAUCCAGAGAACUUUCCAGAGAUGGAUUGGUGCCUUCGGGAACUCUGAGACAGGUGCUGCAUGGCUGUCGUCAGCUCGUGUUGUGAAAUGUUGGGUUAAGUCCCGCAACGAGCGCAACCCUUAUCCUUGUUUGCCAGCGAGUAAUGUCGGGAACUCCAGGGAGACUGCCGGUGAUAAACCGGAGGAAGGUGGGGACGACGUCAAGUCAUCAUGGCCCUUACGAGUAGGGCUACACACGUGCUACAAUGGCGCAUACAGAGGGCAGCAAGCUAGCGAUAGUGAGCGAAUCCCAAAAAGUGCGUCGUAGUCCGGAUUGGAGUCUGCAACUCGACUCCAUGAAGUCGGAAUCGCUAGUAAUCGUGGAUCAGAAUGCCACGGUGAAUACGUUCCCGGGCCUUGUACACACCGCCCGUCACACCAUGGGAGUGGGCUGCAAAAGAAGUAGGUAGUUUAACCUUCGGGAGGACGCUUACCACUUUGUGGUUCAUGACUGGGGUGAAGUCGUAACAAGGUAGCGCUAGGGGAACCUGGCGCUGGAUCACCUCCUU
rnacentral:rRNA from 1 species